rnacentral:lncRNA from 1 species
AAAUUAGAACUCAAAAACAUAAUACACCCCGACGUCGCUACUAUCUUCCUCAAGCGAGCCCGCCUCCACCUCAUUGUCUUCUACGAUUCUCGGCGACAUUGUCUUCUUCGAUUCCGGCGUCGGCGAAUCCGCCUCCGCCACAGCCGAUGCCGAUCGAUCCUCUCCUCCAGAGCACACGCCGGCUGAUUUUCUACAACAUCAUAGCAGCCGAUUUCUAGAUUCUUGUAAGUUAUCGACUCUAAUGCAAAUCAGGACAAAGUGUGGGUUUUCUUUUUCUUUCUUAAAUACACACGCACACACCUGGGAUCGUGUUUUGAAGGAGGGAAGCAAAAAAAUUUCUUCCUUACCUUCUUUACCGAUUUUUCCAUCCCUUUUUUGAAAAUCCUUCUUAUGUUUAGAAUUAAUUUUACGAAUUCAUUAUACCAAAACGAUUUUACCUGUUUUGAUGUCUUCUAACUAUUUUAUAAAUGAAGCAGCUAUUAUCAAUUGACAGUUUGAACAAUUGAUCCAUGGCUUGUUUACUCAAGUGUUGAAUACAAGAGAUCAAGAUUAUCCAAAGAACUAUGUAUUCUUUAAUAAUAAUUAUUCAAUUGAUUGAUUGAUUAUUUGUUCAAGUGUUGUAAUUGUUGUAUACUUGUAUUUAUAGGAUAAUUAGGGCUCUUUUUGGUUGAAGAACAAACGAUUGUGAAGAAGGUAUUUAAUAUCCAAAAGGCAGUAGAAAAAUUGUUGGCAAGAGCUAGAGAGUAGAGAGCAAUUUUAGGUGUGAAUAGAUCUUGAAUUUGUAACCGACUUAUGCUUUGAUUACUUCUUUAGAUUUUAUUUUAUUUUCUUUAUUGUUUUUUGAAUUCCAUUUUUAUUUUUAUUGUUUUUUGAGUUCUAUUUUGGAUUUGUUUUUAUUGUUUUCAUUUUAAAAUUACCUUCUUAUAAAUUCAUGUUUUGGAUAUUACUCGCAUCGAAGAUUAGUGUUUUCAAAAUGAUUACUGUGUCUUUG